AUACUUUCCUGGCAGGGAGAUGCCAUAACACCAAGGUGGAUUUCCCAGGGUGAGUCUUGCCCAUUGCACUCCAGAUAUGCUGACCCCUGGGAUUUCCCCAAAUGUGGAACUGCACUGUAUGAAUUGUGGUAGUGGGGAACUGUGUCUGCAAGUUCCUCC
rnacentral:snRNA from 1 species